rnacentral:rRNA from 1 species
CCUACGGGGGGCAGCAGUGAGGAAUAUUGGUCAAUGGACGCAAGUCUGAACCAGCCACGUCGCGUGAAGGAAGACGGCCCUACGGGUUGUAAACUUCUUUUGUAAGGGAAUAAAGUGAGCCACGUGUGGUUUUUUGCAUGUACCUUACGAAUAAGGAUCGGCUAACUCCGUGCCAGCAGCCGCGGUAAUACGGAGGAUCCGAGCGUUAUCCGGAUUUAUUGGGUUUAAAGGGUGCGCAGGCGGGGGAUUAAGUCGGCGGUGAAAUUUUGCAGCUCAACUGUAAAAGUGCCUUCGAAACUGGUUUCCUUGAGUGUAGAUGAAGUAGGCGGAAUUUGUGGUGUAGCGGUGAAAUGCAUAGAUAUCACGAGGAACUCCGAUUGCGCAGGCAGCUUACUAAACUACUACUGACGCUCAGGCACGAAGGCGUGGGGAUCAAACAGGAUUAGAUACCCUGGUAGUCCACGCAGUAAACGAUGAUUGCUAGCUGUUUGCGAUACAAUGUAAGCGGCUGAGCGAAAGCGUUAAGUAAUCCACCUGGGGAGUACGUUCGCAAGAAUGAAACUCAAAGGAAUUGACGGGGGCCCGCACAAGCGGAGGAACAUGUGGUUUAAUUCGAUGAUACGCGAGGAACCUUACCCGGGCUUGAAAUGCAUCUGACCGGCCUUGAAAGAGGCUUUUCCCUUCGGGGSCAGAUGUGUARGUGCUGCAUGGUUGUCGUCAGCUCGUGCCGUGAGGUGUCGGCU